GAUGAACGCUGGCGGCGUGCCUAAUACAUGCAAGUCGAGCGAACAGACGAGGAGCUUGCUCCUCUGACGUUAGCGGCGGACGGGUGAGUAACACGUGGAUAACCUACCUAUAAGACUGGGAUAACUUUGGGAAACCGGAGCUAAUACCGGAUAAUAUAUUGAACCGCAUGGUUCAAUAGUGAAAGACGGUUUUGCUGUCACUUAUAGAUGGAUCCGCGCCGCAUUAGCUAGUUGGUAAGGUAACGGCUUACCAAGGCGACGAUGCGUAGCCGACCUGAGAGGGUGAUCGGCCACACUGGAACUGAGACACGGUCCAGACUCCUACGGGAGGCAGCAGUAGGGAAUCUUCCGCAAUGGGCGAAAGCCUGACGGAGCAACGCCGCGUGAGUGAUGUAGGUCUUCGGAUCGUAAAACUCUGUUAUUAGGGAAGAACAAAUGUGUAAGUAACUAUGCACGUCUUGACGGUACCUAAUCAGAAAGCCACGGCUAACUACGUG
rnacentral:rRNA from 1 species